rnacentral:rRNA from 1 species
CGAUAAGUAAUGUGAAUUGCAGAAUUCAGUGAAUCAUCGAAUCUUUGAACGCACCUUGCGCCCUUUGGUAAUCCGAGGGGCAUGCCUGUUUGAGUGUCUUGAAGCUCUCAAAACGUCUGCUUAAUUGUCAAGACGUUUUGGACGUGGUUUGCCGGUCGCAAGAUCGGCUCACCCUAAAUGCAUUAGCUGGCUUUUGGGUCCGCGAACUCGGUGUGAUAAUUGUCACUCGCUGGGUUGGUGGGCUUUAUGAUGGAAGCUGCUUACAGUCGUCUUUUCGGAGACAAUACAUCUAAGUGUUUGACCUCAAAUCAGGCAGGACUACCCGCUGAACUUAA